rnacentral:rRNA from 1 species
UACGAAGGGGGCUAGCGUUGCUCGGAAUCACUGGGCGUAAAGCGCACGUAGGCGGACUUUUAAGUCAGGGGUGAAAUCCUGGAGCUCAACUCCAGAACUGCCUUUGAUACUGGAAGUCUUGAGUUCGAGAGAGGUGAGUGGAACUGCGAGUGUAGAGGUGAAAUUCGUAGAUAUUGGGAAGAACACCGGUGGCGAAGGCGGCGACCUGGUCCUUGACUGACGCUGAGGCGCGAAAGCGUGGGGAGCAAACAGG